GCAGUAGUGGCCGAGUGGUUAAGGCGAUGGACUAAAAAUCCAUUGGGGUCUCCCCGCACAGGUUCGAAUCCUGUCGACUGCG
rnacentral:tRNA from 2 species